UACGAAGGGGGCUAGCGUUGCUCGGAAUCACUGGGCGUAAAGGGUGCGUAGGCGGUUCUUUAAGUCAGGGGUGAAAUCCUGGAGCUCAACUCCAGAACUGCCUUUGAUACUGAAGAUCUUGAGUUCGGGAGAGGUGAGUGGAACUGCGAGUGUAGAGGUGAAAUUCGUAGAUAUUCGCAAGAACACCAGUGGCGAAGGCGGCUCACUGGCCCGAUACUGACGCUGAGGCACGAAAGCGUGGGGAGCAGACAGG
rnacentral:rRNA from 1 species